GACGAACGCUGGCGGCGUGCUUAACACAUGCAAGUCGAACGGAAAGGCCCUGCGUUUGUGGGGUGCUCGAGUGGCGAACGGGUGAGUAACCCGUGAGUAACCUGCCCUUGACUUUGGGAUAACUUCAGGAAACUGGGGCUAAUACCGGAUAGGAGCUCCUGCUGCAUGGUGGGGGUUGGAAAGUUUCGGCGGUUGGGGAUGGACUCGCGGCUUAUCAGCUUGUUGGUGGGGUAGUGGCUUACCAAGGCUUCGACGGGUAGCCGGCCUGAGAGGGUGACCGGCCACAUUGGGACUGAGAUACGGCCCAGACUCCUACGGGAGGCAGCAGUGGGGAAUAUUGCACAAUGGGCGGAAGCCUGAUGCAGCAACGCCGCGUGCGGGAUGACGGCCUUCGGGUUGUAAACCGCUUUCGCCUGUGACGAAGCGUGAGUGACGGUAAUGGGUAAAGAAGCACCGGCUAACUACGUG
rnacentral:rRNA from 1 species